GGCUGUAGCUCAGUGGUAGAGCACUUGCCUAGCACACGCGAGGCACUGGGUUUGAUCCUCAGCACCA
rnacentral:tRNA from 1 species